AUACGGAGGAUCCGAGCGUUAUCCGGAUUUAUUGGGUUUAAAGGGUGCGCAGGCGGGAGAUUAAGUCGGCGGUGAAAUUUUGCAGCUCAACCGUAAAAGGGCCUUUGAAACUGGUUUCCUUGAGGGUAUAUGAAGGAGGCGGAAUUUGUGGUGUAGCGGGGGAAUGCAUAGAUAUCACGAGGAACUCCGAUUGCGCAGGCAGCUUACUAAACUACUACUGACGCUCAGGCACGAAGGCGUGGGGAUCAAACAGGAUUAGAUACCCUGGUAGUCCACGCAGUAAACGAUGAUUACUAGCUGUUUGCGAUACAAUGUAAGCGGCUGAGCGAAAGCGUUAAGUAGUCCACCUGGGGAGUACGUUCGCAAGAAUGAAACUUAAAGGAAUUGACGGGG
rnacentral:rRNA from 1 species